GUGGGGAAUAUUGGACAAUGGGCGCAAGCCUGAUCCAGCCAUACCGCGUGGGUGAAGAAGGCCUUCGGGUUGUAAAGCCCUUUUGUUGGGAAAGAAAUCCUGUCGAUUAAUACUCGGUGGGGAUGACGGUACCCAAAGAAUAAGCACCGGCUAACUUCGUGCCAGCAGCCGCGGUAAUACGAAGGGUGCAAGCGUUACUCGGAAUUACUGGGCGUAAAGCGUGCGUAGGUGGUGGUUUAAGUCUGCUGUGAAAGCCCUGGGCUCAACCUGGGAAUUGGAGUGGAUAAUGGAUCACUAGAGUGUGGUAGAGGGAUGCGGAAUUGCUGGUGUAGCAGUGAAAUGCGUAGAGAUCAGAAGGAACAUCCGUGGCGAAGGCGGCAUCCUGGGCCAACACUGACACUGAGGCACGAAAGCGUGGGGAGCAAACAGGAUUAGAAACCCGAGUAGUCC
rnacentral:rRNA from 1 species